rnacentral:rRNA from 1 species
AUUGAACGCUGGCGGCAUGCCUUACACAUGCAAGUCGAACGGUAACAGGUCUUCGGAUGCUGACGAGUGGCGAACGGGUGAGUAAUACAUCGGAACGUGCCUAGUAGUGGGGGAUAACUACUCGAAAGAGUGGCUAAUACCGCAUGAGAUCUACGGAUGAAAGCAGGGGAUCGCAAGACCUUGUGCUACUAGAGCGGCCGAUGGCAGAUUAGGUAGUUGGUGGGAUAAAAGCUUACCAAGCCGACGAUCUGUAGCUGGUCUGAGAGGACGAUCAGCCACACUGGGACUGAGACACGGCCCAGACUCCUACGGGAGGCAGCAGUGGGGAAUUUUGGACAAUGGGCGCAAGCCUGAUCCAGCAAUGCCGCGUGCAGGAUGAAGGCCUUCGGGUUGUAAGCUGCUUUUGUACGGAACGAAAAGCCCUGGGUUAAUACCCUGGGGUCAUGACGGUACCGUAAGAAUAAGCACCGGCUAACUUCGUGCCAGCCGCCGCGGUAAAAC